rfam:TPA: Bos taurus chromosome 11, whole genome shotgun sequence.
UCCCUGGUGGUCCAUUGGUUAAGACUCUGUGCUCCAAAUGCAGGGGACCUGGAUUCGAUUCCCAGUCAGGGAA